AUACGGAGGGGGCUAGCGUUGUUCGGAAUUACUGGGCGUAAAGGGCGCGUAGGCGGAUUGUCAAGUCAGAGGUGAAAGCCCUGGGCUCAACCCGGGAACUGCCUUUGAAACUGAAAGUCUAGAGUCCGAGAGAGGAUAGCGGAAUUCCCAGUGUAGAGGUGAAAUUCGUAGAUAUUGGGAAGAACACCAGUGGCGAAGGCGGCUAUCUGGCUCGGUACUGACGCUGAGGCGCGAAAGCGUGGGGAGCAAACAGGAUUAGAAACCCCGGUAGUCC
rnacentral:rRNA from 1 species